ensembl:snRNA Gm28020 predicted gene, 28020
GAGUGAACACAGCUCUUUUAGAAUGUUUUUUUUUCUAGCAGCUUUUCUGACUUUGGACAGAAAACCCAU